GACGAACGCUGGCGGCGUGCUUAACACAUGCAAGUCGAACGCUGAAGCUUGGUGCUUGCACUGGGUGGAUGAGUGGCGAGCGGGUGAGUAAUACGUGAGUAACCUGCCCUUGACUCUGGGAUAAGCCUGGGAAACUGGGUCUAAUACUGGAUAUGACAUGCCACUGCAUGGUGGCGUGUGGAAAGGGUUUUACUGGUUUUGGAUGGGCUCACGGCCUAUCAGCUUGUUGGUGGGGUAAUGGCCUACCAAGGCGACGACGGGUAGCCGGCCUGAGAGGGUGACCGGCCACACUGGGACUGAGACACGGCCCAGACUCCUACGGGAGGCAGCAGUGGGGAAUAUUGCACAAUGGGCGGAAGCCUGAUGCAGCGACGCCGCGUGAGGGAUGACGGCCUUCGGGUUGUAAACCUCUUUCAGCACGGAAGAAGCGAGAGUGACGGUACGUGCAGAAGAAGCGCCGGCUAACUACGUG
rnacentral:rRNA from 1 species